rnacentral:rRNA from 1 species
UACGAAGGGGGCUAGCGUUGUUCGGAUUUACUGGGCGUAAAGCGCACGUAGGCGGAUCGUUAAGUCGGGGGUGAAAUCCUGGAGCUCAACUCCAGAACUGCCUUCGAUACUGGCGAUCUCGAGUCCGGAAGAGGUGAGUGGAACUCCUAGUGUAGAGGUGGAAUUCGUAGAUAUUAGGAAGAACACCAGUGGCGAAGGCGGCUCACUGGUCCAGUACUGACGCUGAGGUGCGAAAGCGUGGGGAGCAAACAGG